UACGGGGGGGGUAAGCGUUGUUCGGAAUUACUGGGCGUAAAGAGCUCGUAGGCGGUGUGUCGCGUCGGCCGUGAAAACCUGCAGCUUAACUGUGGGCUUGCGGUCGAUACGGGCAUCACUGGAGUUCGGCAGGGGAGACUGGAAUUCCUGGUGUAGCGGUGAAAUGCGCAGAUAUCAGGAGGAACACCGGUGGCGAAGGCGGGUCUCUGGGCCGAUACUGACGCUGAGGAGCGAAAGCGUGGGGAGCGAACAGG
rnacentral:rRNA from 1 species